rnacentral:rRNA from 1 species
UACGUAGGGUGCGAGCGUUAAUCGGAAUUACUGGGCGUAAAGCGUGCGCAGGCGGUUAUGUAAGACAGUUGUGAAAUCCCCGGGCUCAACCUGGGAAUUGCAUCUGUGACUGCAUAGCUAGAGUACGGUAGAGGGGGAUGGAAUUCCGCGUGUAGCAGUGAAAUGCGUAGAUAUGCGGAGGAACACCGAUGGCGAAGGCAAUCCCCUGGACCUGUACUGACGCUCAUGCACGAAAGCGUGGGGAGCAAACGAGG